rnacentral:rRNA from 1 species
UAAGUACCUGAAGGAAGAGAAAGAAAUUCGAUUCCGUAAGUAGCGGCGAGCGAACGCGGAUUAGCCCAAACCAAUAAAGUUUUCUUUAUUGGGGUUGCGGACAUAUCAUAACGAAGAGGUAUCGUAAUUGAAGAGGUUUGGAAAGACCCACCACAGAAGGUAAUAGUCCUGUAUGUUAAACGAGAAGACUUCAGAUAUGAUCCAGAGUACCACGGGACACGUGAAACCCUGUGGGAAGCAGGAGGGACCACCCUCCAAGGCUAAAUACUACCUAGUGACCGAUAGCGUAUAGUACCGUGAGGGAAAGGUGAAAAGAACCCCGGGAGGGGAGUGAAAUAGAACCUGAAACCCUGCACUUACAAGCUGUGGAAGCACAUUUCUUGUGUGACCGCGUACUUUUUGUAGAACGGGCCAACGAGUUACGUUAAGUAGCAAGGUUAAGCACUUAAGGUGUGGAGCCGUAGCGAAAGCGAGUUUUAACUGAGCGUUCAGUUACUUGACGUAGACCCGAAACCGGGCGACCUACCCAUGAGCAGGAUGAAGCGAAAGUAAAAUUUCGUGGAGGUCCGAACCCACGAGCGUUGAAAAGCUCGGGGAUGACUUGUGGGUAGCGGUGAAAUUCCAAUCGAGCCCGGAGAUAGCUGGUUCUCCCCGAAAUAGCUUUAGGGCUAGCCUCAAGGUGAGAGAUACGGAGGUAGAGCACUGAAUGUCCUAGGGGGUAUUGCACCUACCGAAGACUAUCAAACUCCGAAUGCCGUCAUCUUAUACUUGGGAGUCAGACUGUGGGUGAUAAGAUUCAUAGUCGAAAGGGCAACAGCCCAGAUCGUCAGCUAAGGUCCCUAAAUGUAAGUUAAGUGGUAAAGGAUGUGGGAUUGCACAGACAACCAGGAUGUUGGCUUAGAAGCAGCCACUCAUUCAAAGAGUGCGUAAUAGCUCACUGGUCGAGUGAUCCUGCGCCGAAGAUUUCCGGGGCUAAAACUUACUACCGAAGCUACGGCAUCAGUAAUGAUGGGUAGGGGAGCUUCCCAUACGGGUUGAAGCAUGACCGUAAGGACAUGUGGACAGUAUGGGAGUGAGAAUGUUGGCAUGAGUAGCGAGAUGUGGGUGAGAAUCCCACAGGCCGUAAACCCAAGGUUUCCAGGGGAAGGUUCGUCCGCCCUGGGUUAGUCGGGACCUAAGCUGAGGCCGAAAGGCGUAGGUGAUGGACAACAGGUUGAUAUUCCUGUACUACCGAUAACCGUUUGAGAGAAGGGAUGACACAGUAGGAUAAGCUAAGCACACUGUUGGUUAUGUGUGCCCAAGCAUUGAGGCAGUCAAAGUAGGCAAAUCCGCUUUGAUAAUGCUGGGAUGUGAUGGGGAGCGAAAUUUAGUAGCGAAGUAGCUGAUUUCACACUGUCAAGAAAAGUCUCUAUCGAGGUUAAAGGUACCCGUACCGCAAACCGACACAGGUGGGUGAGGAGAGUAUCCUAAGGCCAGCGAGAGAACUGUUGUUAAGGAACUCGGCAAAAUGACCCCGUAACUUAGGGAUAAGGGGUGCCACCAUCAGGUGGCCGCAGAGAAUAGGCCCAAGCGACUGUUUACCAAAAACAUAGGUUUCUGCUAAGUCGCAAGACGAUGUAUAGGAGCUGACGCCUGCCCGGUGCUGGAAGGUUAAGGGGAUCUGUUAGAGCAAUCGAAGCAGUGAACUUAAGCCCCAGUAAACGGCGGCCGUAACUAUAACGGUCCUAAGGUAGCGAAAUUCCUUGUCGGGUAAGUUCCGACCCGCACGAAAGGCGUAACGAUUUGGGCACUGUCUCAACAACAGACUCGGUGAAAUUGUAAUUCCGGUGAAGAUGCCGGAUACCUGCGACAGGACGGAAAGACCCCAUGGAGCUUUACUGUAGCUUGACAUUGGGUCUUGGUACUACAUGUACAGGAUAGGUGGGAGGCUUUGAAACCAGGACGCCAGUUUUGGCGGAGCCAUCCUUGGGAUACCACCCUUGUAGUACUGGGACUCUAACCAUAGGCCAUGAAUCUGGUCUUGGGACACUGUCAGGUGGGCAGUUUGACUGGGGCGGUCGCCUCCCAAAAGGUAACGGAGGCGCUCAAAGGUUCUCUCAGUACGGUCGGAAAUCGUACGUAGAGUGUAAAGGCAAAAGAGAGCUUGAUUGCAAGACAUACAGGUCGAGCAAGGAUGAAAAUCGGACUUAGUGAUCCGGUGGUUCUGCGUGGAAGGGCCAUCGCUCAACGGAUAAAAGCUACCCUGGGGAUAACAGGCUUAUCUCCCCCAAGAGUCCACAUCGACGGGGAGGUUUGGCACCUCGAUGUCGGCUCAUCACAUCCUGGGGCUGUAGUAGGUCCCAAGGGUUGGGCUGUUCGCCCAUUAAAGUGGUACGCGAGCUGGGUUCAGAACGUCGUGAGACAGUUCGGUCCCUAUCCGUCGCAGGCGUAGGAAAUUUGAGAAGACCUGUCCUUAGUACGAGAGGACCGGGAUGGACGUACCUCUGGUGUACCAGUUGUUCUGCCAAGGGCAUGGCUGGGUAGCUAUGUACGGAAUGGAUAAGCGCUGAAAGCAUCUAAGCGCGAAGCCAACUUCAAGAUAAGAUUUCCCACCGCAAGGGUAAGACCCCAGAAAGACUAUCUGGUUGAUAGGUCGAAGGUGUAAGUGCAGCAAUGUAUUUAGCUUAUCGAUACUAAUAGGUCGAGGACUUGACCAA